AACGCAACACGUGUCCUCUAUACAAAACUUAGCGUUUCAUUAACUAGCGAUUAUAUUUUUAUUGGGCUUAUUCUGUUUUUUUUUUUACCCUGUCUAACGGCCCGAUAGACCACAUGAUUCAACCCUAAUUGUGAUUUACGCAAAAGAUGAAAUUUAAGGUUUCUCUGUUCUUUGGAACUGAGGCGACUUUUGAUCUUGGUCUGGUUCACUGAAACGCACCCAGAUAUUUAUUCAUCGUCUUUAAUCCUUUAUUAAUUCAAACACCCACGAUCUAGCCUUGAAUGCGAUCUUCCAUCAUGGUGAGGCUGUCUAACUAAGAAUAUAAAUAGGAACCAAAUAUCCGUGAAGAAGCUUCGGCACUAUAUUGUCUACAGGAGAUAACAAUAAUACGUGAAGGCAAGCGUUUGAAUCACAAGCCAAAGACCAAAUACCGUUUCACUCAUUCAAGGCACCUCUUCAUAUCUACACAUACACUACAUCAGAGUCUUCGGUUGACAUCCUUUUCAAUUCAUCUUCACCUUCUGCUGCACCCGUAACAUCUAUAUAUAGUUAGCUUUUGGAAACGAUGAAUAUUGGUGUACAAAAUGAUAUUGGAAAAGUUAAUGGAGAACUUAAGUUUGCUUUCGUAAA